GAUGAACGCUGGCGGUGGGCCUAAUACAUGCAAGUCGAGCGAACGGACGAGAAGCUUGCUCCUCUGAUGUUAGCGGCGGACGGGCGAGUAACACGUGGAUAACCUUCCUAUAAGACUGGGGUAACUACGGGAAACCGGAGCUAAUACCGGAGAAUACUUUGAACCGCAUGGUGCAAAAGUGAAACACGCCUUGGCUGUCGCUUAUAGAUGGAUCCGCGCUGCAUUAGCUAGUUGGUAAGGUAACGGCUUACCAAGGCAACGAUGCGUAGCUGACCUGAGAGGGUGAUCGGCCACACUGGAACUGAGACACGGUCCAGACUCCUACGGGAGGCAGCAGUGGGGAAUCUUCCGCAAUGGGCGCAAGCCUGACGGAGCAACGCCGCGUGAGUGAUGAAGGUCUUCGGGUCGUAAAGCUCUGUUAUUAGGGAAGAACAUAUGUGUAAGUAACUGUGCACAUCUUGACGGUACCUAAUCAGAAAGCCACGGCUAACUACGUG
rnacentral:rRNA from 1 species